rnacentral:sRNA from 13 species
GCCGGGCGUGGUGGCUCACGCCUGUAAUCCCAGCACUUUGGGAGGCUGAGAUGGGUGGAUUACCUGAGGUCAGGAGUUCAAGACCAGCCUGGCCAACAGGGUGAAACCCCUCUCUA